ACGCUCGACACCUACGGAAGGCAGCAGUGGGGAAUAUUGCACAAUGGGGGAAACCCUGAUGCAGCGACGCCGCGUGAAGGAAGAAGUAUUUCGGUAUGUAAACUUCUAUCAGCAGGGAAGAAAAUGACGGUACCUGACUAAGAAGCCCCGGCUAACUACGCGCCUGCAGCCGCGGUAAUCUGAGCGGGCUGGCAAGGC
rnacentral:rRNA from 1 species